UACGUAGGGUGCAAGCGUUGUCCGGAAUUAUUGGGCGUAAAGAGCUCGUAGGCGGUUUGUUGCGUCGGCUGUGAAAUCCCGAGGCUCAACCUCGGGUCUGCAGUCGAUACGAGCAAACUAGAGUGUUGCAGGGGAGACUGGAAUUCCUGGUGUAGCGGUGAAAUGCGCAGAUAUCAGGAGGAACACCGGUGGCGAAGGCGGGGUCUCUGGGCAGUAACUGACGCUGAGGAGCGAAAGCGUGGGGAGCGAACAGG
rnacentral:rRNA from 1 species